rnacentral:rRNA from 1 species
AACGAACGCUGGCGGCAGGCUUAACACAUGCAAGUCGAACGCACCGCAAGGUGAGCGGCAGACGGGUGAGUAACGCGUGGGAACGUACCCUUUGCUACGGAAUAGCUCCGGGAAACUGGAAUUAAUACCGUAUGUGCCCUACGGGGGAAAGAUUUAUCGGCAAAGGAUCGGCCCGCGUUGGAUUAGCUAGUUGGUGGGGUAAUGGCCUACCAAGGCGACGAUCCAUAGCUGGUCUGAGAGGAUGAUCAGCCACAUUGGGACUGAGACACGGCCCAAACUCCUACGGGAGGCAGCAGUGGGGAAUAUUGGACAAUGGGCGCAAGCCUGAUCCAGCCAUGCCGCGUGAGUGAUGAAGGCCUUAGGGUUGUAAAGCUCUUUCACCGGAGAAGAUAAUGACGGUAUCCGGAGAAGAAGCCCCGGCUAACUUCGUGCCAGCCGCCGCCGUAAGAC